rnacentral:rRNA from 1 species
UACGUAGGGUGCGAGCGUUAAUCGGAAUUACUGGGCGUAAAGCGUGCGCAGGCGGUUCGUUGUGUCGGUGGUGAAAGCCCCGGGCUUAACCUGGGAAUGGCCAUGGAAACUGGCGAACUGGAGUGUGGCAGAGGGGGGUGGAAUUCCGCGUGUAGCAGUGAAAUGCGUAGAGAUGCGGAGGAACACCGCUGGCGAAGGCAGCCCCCUGGGCUAGCACUGACGCUCAGGCACGAAAGCGUGGGGAGCAAACAGG